UACGUAGGGGGCAAGCGUUGUCCGGAUUUAUUGGGCGUAAAGAGCGUGUAGGCGGUUCGGUAGGUCCGUUGUGAAAACUCGAGGCUCAACCUCGAGACGCCGAUGGAAACCAUCGAACUAGAGUCCGGAAGAGGAGAGUGGAAUUCCUGGUGUAGCGGUGAAAUUCGUAGAUAUCAAGCGGAACACCGGUGGCGAAGGCGGCCUUCUGGACAGUGACUGGCGCUGAGACGCGAAAGCGUGGGGAGCAAACAGG
rnacentral:rRNA from 1 species